CACUAGUGGCGCACGGGUGCGUAACGCGUAACCAACCUACCCGAAUCUGGGGGAUAGCCCGCCGAAAGGCGGAUUAAUACCGCAUAAGACGGUGACCCGGCAUCGGGAUGUUGUUAAAGAUUUAUUGGAUUCGGAUGGGGUUGCGUGACAUUAGCUAGUUGGCGGGGUAACGGCCCACCAAGGCGACGAUGUCUAGGGGAGCUGAGAGGCUGGUCCCCCACACGGGCACUGAGAUACGGGCCCG
rnacentral:rRNA from 1 species